rnacentral:tRNA from 1 species
AAGAUCAGGAAAAAUUGAUUGUUACUCAAUAAGUUUUAUCUCAAGUGAUGUUA